UACAGAGGGGGCAAGCGUUGCUCGGAAUCACUGGGCGUAAAGCGCACGUAGGCGGAUUGCUAAGUCAGGGGUGAAAUCCUGGAGCUCAACUCCAGAAUUGCCUUUGAUACUGGCGACCUUGAGUCCGGGAGAGGUGAGUGGAACUGCGAGUGUAGAGGUGAAAUUCGUAGAUAUUCGCAAGAACACCAGUGGCGAAGGCGGCUCACUGGCCCGGUACUGACGCUGAGGUGCGAAAGCGUGGGGAGCAAACAGG
rnacentral:rRNA from 1 species